UAGCUAGUUGGUGAGGUAAAAGCUUACCAAGGCGACGAUAGGUAGCCGGACUGAGAGGUCGAACGGCCACAAUGGAACUGAGAGACGGUCCAUACUCCUACGGGAGGCAGCAGUGGGGAAUAUUGCACAAUGGGCGAAAGCCUGAUGCAGCGACGUCGCGUGAGGGAAGAAGUAUUUCGGUAUGUAAACCUCUGUCCUAUUAGAAGAAUAAUGACGGUAUAAUAGGAGGAAGCCAUGGCUAACUACGUGCCAGCAGCCGCGGUAAUACGUAGAUGGCAAGCGUUAUCCGGAAUGACUGGGCGUAAAGGGUGCGUAGGCGGUUAUGUAAGUCAGAUGUGAAAUACCCGAGCUCAACUUGGGAACAGCAUUUGAAACUAUAUAACUUGAGUGCAGGAGAGGAAAGUGGAAUUCCUAGUGUAGCGGUGAAAUGCGUAGAUAUUAGGAGGAACACCAGUGGCGAAGGCGACUUUCUGGACUGUAACUGACGCUGAGGCACGAAAGUGUGGGGAGCGAACAGGAUUAGAUACCCUGGUAGUCCACACUGUAAACGAUGAAUGCUAGGUGUAGGGUGUCAAAGCUCUGUGCCGCAGUAAACGCAAUAAGCAUUCCGCCUGGGGAGUACGGCCGCAAGAUUGAAACUCAAAGGAAUUGACGGGGGCCCGCACAAGCAGUGGAGCAUGUGGUUUAAUUCGAAGCAACGCGAAGAACCUUACCAGGGCUUGACAUCGUACUAAUCGACUAGAGAUAGUUGAGUGCCUGCUUGCAGGAGAGUAUAGACAGGUGGUGCAUGGUUGUCGUCAGCUCGUGUCGUGAGAUGUUGGGUUAAGUCCCGCAACGAGCGCAACCCCUAUUACCAGUUACCAGCGAGUAAGGUCGGGAACUCUGGUGAAACUGCCGUAGAGAAUACGGAGGAAGGUGGGGAUGACGUCAAAUCAUCAUGCCCCUUAUGUCCUGGGCAACACACGUGCUACAAUGAGUGUUACAGAGGGAAGCGAAGUAGAGAUAUGGAGCAAAACUCAAAAAAGCAUCCUCAGUUCGGAUUGUAGGCUGCAACUCGCCUACAUGAAGCUGGAAUUGCUAGUAAUCGCAGAUCAGAAUGCUGCGGUGAAUACGUUCCCGGGCCUUGUACACACCGCCCGUCACACCAUGAGAGUGGGCAACACCCGAAGCCGAUGAGCUAACCGAAAGGAAGCAGUCGUCGAAGGUGGGGUUCAUGAUUGGGGUGAAGUCGAAACAAGGUAGCCGUAUCGGAAGGUGCGGCUG
rnacentral:rRNA from 1 species